AAGGAUCAUUAUUGAAUAAGCUUGGUUGGGUUGUUGCUGGCUCUCAGGAGCAUGUGCACGCCUAACACCAACUUUUACCACCUGUGCACCUUCUGUAGACCUGGAUAAAACUCUCGAGGAAACUCGGUUUGAGGAAUGCUGUGUGCAAGCCAGCUUUCCUUGUACUUCUGGUCUAUGUUUUUAUAUAUACACACCCCUAUAGUAUGUCUCAGAAUGUUUGUUUGUUGGGCUUGAAUGCCUUUAAACUUAAUACAACUUUCAACAACGGAUCUCUUGGCUCUC
rnacentral:misc_RNA from 1 species